CGAAGGUGAGUGAAGUAGUGUUUGAACAACGAUUGAAACGAUAGCUUGUAACUGUAUCAUUUUUGCGAAAAAAAAAUAUGAUAUUUACAGAAUAGCUUCUUUCCUAAAGAAAAAUAUAAUGUCAAGUGCGAAAAUCUUUGCGAUAUUGAUCGCAAUUUUUUGUUUGGAAAAUCAUUUAGCUUUAAGCGAAUAUUGUUACGUUGACGAUCGAAAUCCCUUUUUGUUGUUCAGCACGAAAACUGCUUAUGAGCACGUUCAUGGUAUCAUAACCGAUUCCAAAAUGCCAAAUUGCAAACCAUUGCAAAUUUGGAUGAUACUUAGACACGGAACUCGGAAUACCGGCAAACAUUGGAUUAAAAAAUUAAAAAAUGACUUGCCACAGAUUCAACGUGCUAUCAUCGAGAACCACGACAAUUGCAAAUUGUGCGAAAAAGAUUUUAACAGAAUAAAAGAGUGGGACGGAUAUAGACCUCUACAAAAGAAAAAGGCUGCACGAUUGACAAAGCAGGGUAAACAAGACAUGUUUUUCCUUGGCUUACGAUUUAAGAAUUAUUUCCCGGAACUUUUCCAAUCUCGUUCAAGCAACAGUUUGGAGAAACUGUAUCAAUUUAGAUCGACGAAAACUCAACGAACAGUAGCUAGCAUGGAAAACUUCAUCAAAGGCCUUUUUAACAACGUAACCUUCAACAAUAUAAAAGUUGUAGGAAUCCCUCAAGACACUCUGUUACAAUAUUACAAAAUUUAUGAACCAUAUUUGAACGAAACGGCUAACACAACAGAGAUGUGGGCUGAAAGUGAUGAAUUAACACAAAGCGAUGAAUACAAUGAAAUGAUGAACAAUAUUAGUCAACGGCUUGGCUUGUCAAACAAUAUAUCGGAAGAAGUUUUCACUCAAAUCGAAGACGUGUACACCAUUUGCCUGUUCGAGAGCGCUUGGUACAUCAACGAAAAAUCUCCCUGGUGCGCCCCGUUUACAAAGGAAGAUAUAGAAUGGUUUCAGUACAGGGAUGAUAUGUAUUUUUAUUAUCUUUACGGUUAUGGUCAGCAAAUGAGAAACGAUGUUGGGUGUCCACCGUUGAAGGAUCUCUUCAAUCAUUUUUCAAAUUUGGAAAAUGGAAAUAAGGACGAACCGAAAGGUAUUUUUUAUUUCACCCACAGUGCUGCUCUUCAAUUGCUCCUGUCCACGUUGGGAUACGCGAAAGACUCGGAGCCUUUGGUACACGAUACGAACAUCGAUAAGGCGAAAACAAGAAAAUGGUACACAGCGAAUCUGACGCCAUUCGCUGCGAAUUUAGCGGCCAUUUUUUAUAAAUGCGAUAAAGGUUUCAAGGUGAAACUUUAUUUAAACGAGAGACCAUUAGAUUUCGAAGGAUGCCCCCGAGGCACGUGCGAAUGGACUCAUUUCAAGAGGAUAUUGAAGAAUAUUGCGAUCAACUGUGAAAUGGAUAAAAAUGACAUGUAAUUAUCGUUAAAUUUUUGUUUUAAAAUCAUCGUAUGACAAACGUCACGUGAAAGAUACCUGAACGUGUAUAUAUAUAUAUAUAU
rnacentral:misc_RNA from 1 species